AUUGAACGCUGGCGGCAGGCCUAACACAUACAAGUCGAACGAGUGGCGGACGGGUGAGUAAUGUCUGGGAAACUGCCUGAUGGAGGGGGAUAACUACUGGAAACGGUAGCUAAUACCGCAUACCAUCAGAUGUGCCCAGAUGGGAUUAGCUAGUUGGUGGGGUAACGGCUCACCAAGGCGACGAUCCCUAGCUGGUCUGAGAGGAUGACCAGCAACACUGGAACUGAGACACGUUCCAGCCUCCUACGGAAGGCAGCAGGGGGGAAUAUGGCACAAGGGGCGCAAGCCUGAUGCAGCCAUGCCGAGUGUAUGAAGAAGGUCUUCGGGUUGUAAAGUACUUUCAGCGGGGAGGCGGUACCCGCAGAAGAAGCACCGGCUAACUCCGUGCCAGCAGCCGCGGUAAUUC
rnacentral:rRNA from 1 species